rnacentral:misc_RNA from 1 species
AAACCGAGAGAAGCCCACGAAACAUCUUAUAAGCGAAGAACGUGUCGGCUCCCCCUUAACGGAAACAACAGCAGCAGCUAAUGUGGAAAAGCGCCGAUUUCUUCUUCCGUAUGACUGACUGAGACAAAGGUAGCGGAUUCUGGACGAAGAAAAUGGAGAAGAUGAAGAGGAUAGACGAGAAUUAGAGAGAUAUGAAUAGGAGUGCUUCAAUCCCGAGAGGAGUAGUUUAAGCGGUGAUGAGAGUUUGAAGAAAUGGAGCACCGAAGUAGAGCGAUAGACGAGCAAGUGUGUUGUAAGUGGAAGUGUUUGCUCUUUUCCG